rnacentral:rRNA from 1 species
UUAAUGUUUAUUUUUUUUUAUUGUAGUAUUAUAUAUAUAUAUAUAUAUAUAUAAAUUAAAAAAAGUAUUUUAUUUUUUAUUAAUUAAAUUGAAUAAAUUUGUAUAAUUAUAGUUUAAUAGUAUUGUGAAAGAAUAUUAAUUAUUAAUUAAAAGAAAAAUUAAAUUUUUGUACCUUGUGUAUCAGGGUUUAUUAAAUAAAAUUUAUUUAUUAUAAUUUUCUCGAAUUUAAAAGAGUUAAAAAUUUAUAAUUUUUAUUGUUGAAUAAAUAUUGUUGAUAAAUUUUUGGAAGUUAAAUGCUAUUCGAUUUUAAAUAUAUCUAGUUUUUUUAGAAAAAAAUUUAAUUUUAUUUUUAUUUAUUAUUGAGUUAUUUAUAUAAUUUUAUAAUAGUAGAAAUUAAUAUUUUAAGGGAUGAGCUUUAUUAUAAAUAAAUAAAACUUUAUUAAAUAAUUUUUGUCAGUAAGAUUUUAAGUUUCUAUCUUUAUUAAUGUAUUAUAACUAAUAGGUAUAUUUAUAUAAUUUUUAUUUAGGUUUAUUUAUUUUAUAAAAAUAUAAGUUAAAAUAAUUAAAAUUUAGUAAUAAUGAUAAAAUUAGUAUAAAUUUUAUGUUUAGAUUUAAUAAAUUUAAAAGGUUAAAUAAAGGAAUUAGGCAAAAAUAAUUUUUCACCUGUUUAUUAAAAACAUGUCCUUUUGAUUAUAAUUUAAGGUCUAACCUGCCCAAUGAUAAUUUUAAUGGCUGCAGUAUUUUAACUGUACUAAGGUAGCAUAAUCAAUAGUUUUUUAAUUGAAAGCUGGAAUGAAAGGUUGAAUGAAAAAAUUACUGUCUCUGUUUAAAUUUUUUAGAAUUUUAUUUUUAAGUUAAAAAGCUUAAAUGUUUAUAGAAGACGAGAAGACCCUAUAGAGUUUUAUAUAUAAUAGUUUUAAAAUAUUUUAGUAUUAAAUAUUUUAAUAUAAUUUUAUAUUUAAUUGGGGUGAUUUUAAAAUUUAAUGAACUUUUUUUAUAUAGAAUCAUUGAUUAAUGAAAAUGUGAUCCUUUUAUAAAGAUUAAUAGAAUAAAUUACCUUAGGGAUAACAGCGUAAUUUUUUUAUAGAGUUCAAAUCGAAAAAAAAGAUUGCGACCUCGAUGUUGGAUUAAAAUAAAUUAUUAGUGUAGAAGCUAAUAUAUUAGGUCUGUUCGACCUUUAAAAUUUUACAUGAUCUGAGUUUAAACCGGUGUGAGCCAGGUUGGUUUCUAUCUCUAUAAAUUAAUAUAUUUAUAUUUUAGUACGAAAGGACCGGAUAUA